ACGGCAUGAUCGCAAGCCGCUGCCGGGGUAUAUACAGGUCUUGAAGUGGUAGGAGACGGCGGCGGCGUACGAGAUGAAGGACUUGGUGGGGCUGGGGCACUUGUUCGUGGUGGCAUUCCUCUUCCACUUCUCCUCCUUCAUGGUGCUCCCGGCGAUCACCGACGUGACCAUGGAGGCCGUCUGCCCCGGCCGCGACGAGUGCUCCGUCGCCAUCUAUCUCAGCGGCUUCCAGAACGCCAUCACAGGGCUGGGGGCUCUGGUAGUGACUCCUAUCGUCGGGAAUUUGUCGGACAAGUACGGCCGGAAGGCGCUGAUGACGCUGCCGGUGACCGUCGCCAUUUUGCCUCUCUUUAUAUUGGCGUGCAACCGAUCGGAGGUGUACUUCUACGCGUACUACGUGAUGAAGAUCCUCGCCGGGAUCUUCUGCGAGGGCAGCAUCCACUGUCUCUUGCUUGCUUACGUGGCGGACCACGUAGGGACCAAACGGCGGGCGGCGGCGUUCGGGCUCCUCUCAGGCGUGUCGGCGGCCGGCUUCCUCUCGGGGACCCUCACCGCGCGGUUCCUCGCCACCUCCUCCACCUUUCAGGUCGCCGCGGCCGUCGGUGCAGCGGGAGCCAUCUACCUCAGGGCAUUCGUCCCGGAUUCCGGCGCUGCUGUCUCCUUCCAUGACGAUGCCUGCGAUCCCCUGCUCCAAGACUCGUCCUGCUCCUCUGCAGCUUCGUCUUCCGCUUCCUCUGACGAAGAGCUGUCGCCGAGGCUUCCGCCCUACAAGGGCGUGCUGCCGUCGCCGUCCGACAUGGUCGCACUUCUCACUGGCAGUUUGACCUUGUCAACGGCGGCAAUGAUCACUUUCUUUUACAGUCUCGGUGAACACGGACUUCAGACUGCAUUACUGUACUACCUGAAAGCACAGUUUGGUUACAGCAAAGACGAGUUUGCUAAUCUAAUGCUGAUUGCCGGUGCUGCGGGAAUGAUCUCACAGUUAACAGUAAUGCCAAUAUUUGCUCCAAUCGUGGGUGAGGAGAUGCUACUUAUUGUUGGGCUGUUAGGAGGAUGCACUCAUGUUUUCCUAUAUGGCAUCGCAUGGUCGUACUGGGUGCCAUAUUUUGCUGCAGCAUUUAUAAUUUUGAGUGCUUUUGUUCACCCAUCUAUAAGGACCAAUGUGUCAAAAAGUGUUGGAUCAAAUGAGCAGGGAAUUGCUCAAGGGUGUAUAUCGGGAAUUAGUUCUUUUGCCAGCAUAUUAGCUCCACUCAUCUUCACUCCCUUGACAGCAUGGUUCCUUUCAGAAACAACGCCGUUCAACUUCAAAGGCUUCAGCAUUAUGGUUGCUGGUUUUUGCACGCUCACUGCCUUUGUCAUCAGCAUUAGGAUGCGCGCGGCGAGAUGUGGAGUUAGCGAGAAAGUGAGCCUUGUGCAGCAUGAGCAAGCAUGACACACACAACACCCUGGUUAAGAGUGGCUUGCUCCAUGCUUCCAGGAGAAUGAAUGACCCUCGGCAUGCAAAAGCACCUUUCUCUAUUACAUGAACGCUGCAGAUGUCGAAUUGGGUAGUGUCAUGCAAGUUUAGCCUGGUGUAAACCUCCUACUGUCUUACCAGUACAUAGCUGACCGGAAUAGUUAACUGUAUGUAGCUUGCUUCAGAAAGGGGGUCAGUGGGUAAGCACUUAGCAUUCAGAGUUGGCGCAGUUCUGUUUCUGAAUGCAGAAUGUAUGGUGGAUGAAUUACAAAGUACUAGUACAUCGGUUCCAAAAUAUAAGAUGUUUUGGCAGUUAAUUUAAACUGCCAAAACGUUCAUAUUUAGGAACAGAGGUGGCAAUAUGUAAAUACAGCGACUUCUGGUGAUAAAUUCGACUCGUCUGAGUACACAGGAAGCACUGGAUAGAGGAAGUGUAGCUUGUUAUGAAAUGAGCUUAUAC
rnacentral:rRNA from 1 species